AGCCUCCAGAUUCCUUACCCCUCAGAUCUAAGUAUUGGUCUGAGCGGCUUAAACGGAGGAAAAGAAAGUGAAAUGUAUUUGGAGUCUUCAGGGACAUAUAAGUCCAUUUCUAACACAU
rnacentral:snoRNA from 1 species